UUGAAGGUUGGGUAACACUAACUGGAGGACCGAACCGACUAAUGUUGAAAAAUUAGCGGAUGACUUGUGGCUGGGGGUGAAAGGCCAAUCAAACCGGGAGAUAGCUGGUUCUCCCCGAAAGCUAUUUAGGUAGCGCCUCGUGAAUUCAUCUCCGGGGGUAGAGCACUGUUUCGGCAAGGGGGUCAUCCCGACUUACCAACCCGAUGCAAACUGCGAAUACCGGAGAAUGUUAUCACGGGAGACACACGGCGGGUGCUAACGUCCGUCGUGAAGAGGGAAACAACCCAGACCGCCAGCUAAGGUCCCAAAGUCAUGGUUAAGUGGGAAACGAUGUGGGAAGGCCCAGACAGCCAGGAUGUUGGCUUAGAAGCAGCCAUCAUUUAAAGAAAGCGUAAUAGCUCACUGGUCGAGUCGGCCUGCGCGGAAGAUGUAACGGGGCUAAACCAUGCACCGAAGCUGCGGCAGCGACACUAUGUGUUGUUGGGUAGGGGAGCGUUCUGUAAGCCUGUGAAGGUGUGCUGUGAGGCAUGCUGGAGGUAUCAGAAGUGCGAAUGCUGACAUAAGUAACGAUAAAGCGGGUGAAAAGCCCGCUCGCCGGAAGACCAAGGGUUCCUGUCCAACGU
rnacentral:rRNA from 1 species